UUCCCAGCUUGUGCCACUGAAA
rnacentral:miRNA from 1 species